AGUGAACGCUGGCGGUAGGCUUAACACAUGCAAGUCGAGCGGUAACAUUUCCAGCUUGCUGGAAGAUGACGAGCGGCGGACGGGUGAGUAACGCGUAGGAAUCUACCGAGUAGGUGGGGGACAACCAGUGGAAACGCUGGCUAAUACCGCAUACCGCCCGUACGGGGGAAAGCGAGGGGAUCUUCGGACCUUGCGCUAUUCGAUGAGCCUGCGUGAGAUUAGCUUGUUGGUGAGGUAACUGCUCACCAAGGCGACGAUAUCUAGGGGGUCUGAGAGGAUUAUCCCCCACACUGGUACUGAGACACGGACCAG
rnacentral:rRNA from 1 species